rnacentral:rRNA from 1 species
UCUGGCGGCAGUAGCGCGGUGGCCCACCUGACCCCAUGCCGAACUCAGAAGUGAAACGCCGUAGCGCCGAUGGUAGUGUGGGGUCUCCCCAUGCGAGAGUAGGGAACUGCCAGAC